rnacentral:tmRNA from 1 species
GGGGGUGAAUUUGGCUUCGACGGGAUUAACGAAGCAAUAAAUUGCGCAUCGUGUUUCUCCGGCAGACACGUUAAACGGCUGGUAAAUAAACCUUAACUGGCGAAUAUAACUACGCCCUCGCUGCUUAAUUAGUUAAGCAGCCGUUCUUUGUAAGUUCUCGUAUCGGUUUACAAAAGAACGUCGUUUAGAUACGAUAGCCAAGCCGAGUGUUUGAGGCG